rnacentral:ncRNA from 2 species
GUCGAUCCGUUGGGGUGCCGCAAGGCUGAGAGGCGCAAGUCGCCAACCCAUCGAACCUGAUCCGGAUAAUGCCGGCGAAGGGAACGGUCGUCGCAGCGUC